GCGUCCCUGGCGAAUCAGAAUUGGAGACAUGUUAUUUUAUCCAAUCUGAUUGGUUCUCAACACCUGUCAUUCAACUCUUCCCCCGGCCGCUACUGGAGAGAGAAGGUGGACACAAUAGUAGCGCCAGCAGGUAGCUCUUGUGUUGCUGAAAUGGUCUAACCACUUUGAUUAAAGUAGGAAAUUAGCAACAAUAAACAAGGAAAGAUUCGUGAAAGAGAAGUUAUACAACGUCGUGGAGCUGCCGACCCCGUCCAAACGGCGUGUGAAUUGAAUAUUCCGGCUGUUUUUUUUGGUGAGACUCUACUGGGAGACAGAACUGUGCUGCUCAAGUCACCGCCGUCAUACUGCCUCCUGGGUUUCAUCUUCAUCACCACCAUCUUCUUACCGCUCACUAGACCUUCGCCAUCAUCAUCUCCACUACUCACAGGAUUUUCACGUAGUUUCCCUACUCUAUUCUCUGAGGAGCCAGGAUGGACAGUUUUACCUGCUAACGGUGGUGGUAGGAACUUGAGUGCACUCAAACUAAUGAAACAGGUUAUCUCUAUGAAAUAAGAGCUCUCAGUUUUUGGUUAAUUUGGUUUUAUAUUUUUAUUUUCUUUGUCAGGUUUUUGAUAUUUAAGUUGUGGUUUGAGUACAUUGGGUUUGAACCUAAUUGGCCUAUCUACCAAACUUGAAUCUUGAAAGCUCUUUUUAAAUACUUAGUUGUUUAAAUAAAGUUGUGCUGGUUGUUUUGCCCAGUUUCAAAGUACUGCUUUGUAUUUAUUUGCCCCCCGCCCCUUAAAUCCCACAACACUGUUAUUGUAUUCUGCUGUGAUUAUUAGGCCUCUUGUAUUAUCUUUCCUGCUGUCGGAGGCUCACUCAUGUUUAAACAGAGCCCCUCACUGUGAUCAUUUUCACAGGCAAAUGCAUCUCCCACCGUCUCUAGUGGCUUUAUCAACACGGAAUAGGUUUCAAUUGCUCUGAACAUGAUUUCAAACGUCACAUGCAGCCAGCCAAUGUGACCAAAGAUUCAUUCCAUGGUUCUUUUCAAAUAAAGCAGGGAGAUUGUAACGCCUCCUGCCUAGCCCGGGUUGAUUAGCAUACACAUGAAAAGGUAGCUGUUAUAAUAAUAUGUCUUGUCUCCAUUAGAUACGUUCAUCUCAGGUAUGAGUGUGUCUGCUCGGCAAUGCAGUCCCCAUUCAUUAUCCAGCUUGUCCCCGACUGUCAAGAUUUGAAAAAUGAUGACCGUACUCUAUCACUAAAUUCGAAAGUAAUGAGUGCUAUUAAUAUUUAUUUUUCAGUAGAAGCACGAACAGCCGAUAUAACAACUGUCACUGACACUUUUAUUGUUCUACUAAUUACGCUCUAUAAGUUUGUUUCCAAGGAAAGUAAUGAAAAAGUAGAGACAAAACGAAAAAAAACAACUAUUUGUCCCAACUUGUUCAGUUGGCAAAUAUUACACAUUGACUAAGACGAGGUUCAGAAUUCUGCAGUAAAAGUAUAUUAGUUUGACAUUAAUAAUGACAACACCUGAAAAUAAUGACAUAAUGAUUCUCAAUCCCUCUCACAAAGCUCUGACUGGAUGGUUGUUUUUCCAACCUUCAAUAAACACAACUACAGACGUAUUUGCAUACCUAGGCGGCGAUUCAUAGGUCUAGAACCAGGCUGGGUUACUUUUCGUAUUGAAAUAAUGUAUGUCUUUGCUGAUUGUUUUCUUUGACUCAGUCUGAAGGCACUCAGGCUCUUUCUUAUUGCUGGGCUCUGUUUUUGGGAAAUCAUUUGUUGACACCAUGUUUACUGACACAGUUAAGUGACACAGUUACCACAGCUCUAUUUUUUUCUAACAUUUUUUUUUUUUCAUUUAUUAAUUUAUUUUGCGAUGAAAGUCUUUCUUAUGCUGUGUUGUGUCGAGUGUGUUUUAUGUAUGUGUAAGUAUUUCACCUUUGAUGUUCCUCUGAACCCAGAGAUUUGAUGAGGCUAAGGGAAGGCCUCCUUCCAUCAUUCAAGCUCAUCAAGGUAGCAGUUUGUUUUUAUCAGUUAUUAAUAAAGGUGCCCUUUGGCAGCCA